rnacentral:rRNA from 1 species
GGGACUACCCGGGUAUCUAAUCCGGUUCGUGCCCCCAGCUUUCGUCCCUCACCGUCGAACCCGUUCUGGUAAAGACGCCUUCGCCACAGGUGGUCCCACAGGGAUUACAAGAUUUCACUCCUACCCCUGUAGUACCUCUUACCUCUCCCGGUUCCAAGUCUGGCAGUAUCCCCCGAAAGCCUAACAGUUGAGCUGUCAGAUUUCCCGGAGGACUGACCAAACCGGCUACGGACCCUUUAGACCCAAUAAUCACGAUCACCACUCGGGCCGCCGGUGUUACCGCGGCGGCUGGCACCGGUCUUGCCCGGCCCUUGCUAACAGGUGUAUUUUACACACCUGGACAGCCAGCAUAUGAUGCUAGCACUCGGUGUCCCCUUAUCACGGUUUCCCGCAUUGUAAAGUUUUCGCGCCUGCUGCGCCCCGUAGGGCCUGGAUUCAUGUCUCAGAAUCCAUCUCCGGGCUCUUGCUCUCACAACCCGUACCCGUUGUAGGCUAGUAGGUACAUUACACCCACUACUACCUGAUAGGCCGCAGACCCAUCCUUGGGCAGACGAAUCCAUUUUACGCAUAAAGCAUUCCAGCAUAUGUGCGUUAUCCGGAAUUAUCCCCAGUUUCCCGGGGUUAUGCCGGACCCAAGGGCAGGUUAUCCACGUGUUACUGAGCAGUACGCCAUGUUCACGAAGAACAUAUGACUCGCAUGGCUUAGGCGAACACCGAUAGCAGUAACCUCUGGCAGGAUCAACCGGA